AGCUCAGUUGGUUAGAGCAUGGUGCUAAUAACACCAAGUUCACAGGUUCAAUCCCUGCU
rfam:Pelecanus crispus contig26715, whole genome shotgun sequence.